rnacentral:rRNA from 1 species
CCUGCCCCAUAGUCUGGGAUACCACUUGGAAACAGGUGCUAAUACCGGAUAAGAAAGCAGAUCGCAUGAUCAGCUUUUAAAAGGCGGCGUAAGCUGUCGCUAUGGGAUGGCCCCGCGGUGCAUUAGCUAGUUGGUAAGGUAAAGGCUUACCAAGGCGAUGAUGCAUAGCCGAGUUGAGAGACUGAUCGGCCACAUUGGGACUGAGACACGGCCCAAACUCCUACGGGAGGCAGCAGUAGGGAAUCUUCCACAAUGGACGCAAGUCUGAUGGAGCAACGCCGCGUGAGUGAAGAAGGUUUUCGGAUCGUAAAGCUCUGUUGUUGGUGAAGAAGGAUAGAGGUAGUAACUGGCCUUUAUUUGACGGUAAUCAACCAGAAAGUCACGGCUAACUACGUGCCAGCAGCCGCGGUAAUACGUAGGUGGCAAGCGUUGUCCGGAUUUAUUGGGCGUAAAGCGAGCGCAGGCGGAAGAAUAAGUCUGAUGUGAAAGCCCUUCGGCUUAACCGAGGAACUGCAUCGGAAACUGUUUUUUCUUGAGUGCAGAAGAGGAGAGUGGGAACUCCAUGUGUAGCGGGUGGAAUGCGUAGAUAUAUGGAA